AGUAAAUAUAUUGGAGAUUUACUUCCAAGACUAGAUAUGUAUGAUUGGAAACCCAGUAAAAUUCCAUUAGAAGUGAAAUUAAAAAUUGUUAUUGAUCAUAACUCAACCAUAACUAAUAAACCUUAUUAAGAGGUUGUAGAGUGUCUUAUGUACCUAAUGACACACACACAUCCAGACGUUUUGAGGUAAAUAUCCUAAGUUGCUAUCAGUCUGAUGCAUCUGAUGUCUACUUGUCUUUGUUGAAGAGAGUGUAUAUGUUACCUAAAAAGUACUGAAAAUCUAUGUUCAGUAUACUCGAUUAAAAAGUGGUUUUGGAGAUAAAAAAUCAAAUGCGAUUUUACUAUUUAUAAAUUAGUUAAGCCCUUU